rnacentral:rRNA from 1 species
CUGAUCCAGCCAUGCCGCGUGUGUGAAGAAGGCCUUAUGGUUGUAAAGCACUUUAAGCGAGGAGGAGGCUACUUUAGUUAAUACCUAGAGAUAGUGGACGUUACUCGCAGAAUAAGCACCGGCUAACUCUGUGCCAGCAGCCGCGGUAAUACAGAGGGUGCAAGCGUUAAUCGGAUUUACUGGGCGUAAAGCGCGCGUAGGCGGCUAAUUAAGUCAAAUGUGAAAUCCCCGAGCUUAACUUGGGAAUUGCAUUCGAUACUGGUUAGCUAGAGUGUGGGAGAGGAUGGUAGAAUUCCAGGUGUAGCGGUGAAAUGCGUAGAGAUCUGGAGGAAUACCGAUGGCGAAGGCAGCCAUCUGGCCUAACACUGACGCUGAGGUGCGAAAGCAUGGGGAGCAAACAGGAUUAGAUACCCUGGUAGUCCAUGCCGUAAACGAUGUCUACUAGCCGUUGGGGCCUUUGAGGCUUUAGUGGCGCAGCUAACGCGAUAAGUAGACCGCCUGGGGAGUACGGUCGCAAGACUAAAACUCAAAUGAAUUGACGGGGGCCCGCACAAGCGGUGGAGCAUGUGGUUUAAUUCGAUGCAACGCGAAGAACCUUACCUGGCCUUGACAUAGUAAGAACUUUCCAGAGAUGGAUUGGUGCCUUCGGGAACUUACAUACAGGUGCUGCAUGGCUGUCGUCAGCUCGUGUCGUGAGAUGUUGGGUUAAGUCCCGCAACGAGCGCAACCCUUUUCCUUAUUUGCCAGCGAGUAAUGUCGGGAACUUUAAGGAUACUGCCAGUGACAAACUGGAGGAAGGCGGGGACGACGUCAAGUCAUCAUGGCCCUUACGGCCAGGGCUACACACGUGCUACAAUGGUCGGUACAAAGGGUUGCUACCUAGCGAUAGGAUGCUAAUCUCAAAAAGCCGAUCGUAGUCCGGAUUGGAGUCUGCAACUCGACUCCAUGAAGUCGGAAUCGCUAGUAAUCGCGGAUCAGAAUGCCGCGGUGAAUACGUUCCCGGGCCUUGUACACACCGCCCGUCACACCAUGGGAGUUUGUUGCACCAGAAGUAGCUAGCCUAAC